rnacentral:tRNA from 1 species
AGAGUAUAGCUCAGUGGUAGAGCACAUGCCUAGUAUACAUGUGGUCCUGGGUUCGAUUCCCAGUACCUCUA